GUCACUUUGCCGGAGUGGUUAACGGGAUCGCCUGCUACUCAGUAGCUGUCAGCGGUUGGGCUUUGCCCGCGUGUGUUCGAAUCGCACAGGUGACG
rnacentral:tRNA from 1 species